rnacentral:rRNA from 1 species
CCUACGGGUGGCAGCAGUGAGGAAUAUUGGUCAAUGGGCGGGAGCCUGAACCAGCCAAGUCGCGUGAGGGAAGACGGUCCUAUGGAUUGUAAACCUCUUUAGGCGGGGAGCAAUGCCGGGCACGCGUGCCCGGAGGGAGAGUACCCGCAGAAUAAGCAUCGGCUAACUCCGUGCCAGCAGCCGCGGUAAUACGGAGGAUGCGAGCGUUAUCCGGAUUUAUUGGGUUUAAAGGGUGCGUAGGCGGAAGGUUAAGUCAGCGGUCAAAUGUCGGUGCUCAACACCGGCCUGCCGUUGAAACUGGUCUUCUUGAGUGAGCGAGAAGUAUGCGGAAUGCGUGGUGUAGCGGUGAAAUGCAUAGAUAUCACGCAGAACUCCGAUUGCGAAGGCAGCAUACCGGCGCUCAACUGACGCUGAGGCACGAAAGCGUGGGGAUCGAACAGGAUUAGAUACCCGAGUAGUC